rnacentral:rRNA from 1 species
GACGAACGCUGGCGGCGUGCUUAACACAUGCAAGUCGAACGGUGAAGGGACCAGCUUGCUGGUUCUGGCUGAGUGGCGAACGGGUGAGUAACACGUGGGUAACCUGCCCCCUUCUUCUGGAUAACCGCAUGAAAGUGUGGCUAAUACGGGAUAUUCUGGGUCUGUCGCAUGGCGGGCCCGGGAAAGAUAUUGCUUCGGUGGGGGAUGGGCUCGCGGCCUAUCAGCUUGUUGGUGGGGUGAUGGCCUACCAAGGCGGUGACGGGUAGCCGGCCUGAGAGGGUGGACGGUCACACUGGGACUGAGACACGGCCCAGACUCCUACGGGAGGCAGCAGUGGGGAAGAUUGCACAAUGGGCGCAAGCCUGAUGCAGCGACGCCGCGUGAGGGAUGGAGGCCUUCGGGUUGUAAACCUCUUUCGCCAGUGAAGCAGGCCUGCUCCUUGUGGGUGGGUUGACGGUAGCUGGAGAAGAAGCGCCGGCUAACUACGUG